UACGGAGGGUGCAAGCGUUAAUCGGAAUUACUGGGCGUAAGCGUGCGCAGGCGGUUUGUUAAGUCUGCUGUGAAAUCCCCGAGCUCAACUUGGGAAUUGCAGUGGAUACUGGCAGGCUGGAGUAUGGUAGAGGAAGGUGGAAUUCCCGGUGUAGCAGUGAAAUGCGUAGAGAUCGGGAGGAACACCAGUGGCGAAGGCGGCCUUCUGGACCAAUACUGACGCUCAUGCACGAAAGCGUGGGGAGCAAACAGG
rnacentral:rRNA from 1 species